ACCUACUCUUUUAACCACUUCUUCCAAAAGUGUUAUUGCAUUUUUACUUGGGCGCCACACAACAACGCUCCAGGACAAAUCAUAAGUUUGAAAGGCGCUGAAGAUGUGAAGACCACUGGGUUUGCUUGGAAGCAGCUGAAGCAAAUGAUGCAAAUUGAAAAGACUCCUUUAAAAGUGAAGUUACUGACAUUUUUAUAGGACAGGGCAAAAAGGAACAGAAAUAUUAACACAAGUGGAUCUACGCUCACAGAGCCAUCAUGUGACUGAGGUCAUUAGUAACAGCCAACUUUAAGACAGAUAUUGUAACUAUUAAACUUUACAUAUAUAGCUUGGACCAAGAAGUAUUUUGCAAGUGUCAGCUUCUUGGACAGACAGCAGGACAAUGGGCUCUACACACUCCAGACCAGGAUUGCAUAAAGUGGGCCCAUGUAAUAUUUUGCAAGAAAAGACUCAGAAGCCAAAACCACAAUGGACAGUCCCUGUUCUGCCACACGCUGUGGAGCUGCCACCAGGAUCUGUGGGAGAGAAAAGAACAACCUUUCCUCCACUGAAGCAGGAAAUAACUCUUUCUUUGCUUUCAGGGCAGGUUUCUGGAGGUUCAGAGAGCUGCCUCUCAAGCUCACCUCUAAAUUGUCAGGCAGCAGAGAAGACAUAAGAUACAGUCUACACAUUUAACGAUCCAAAUGCAGAAGGCAUCCAGAAGCUGAAACUCGUGAGAAGACCCACUGAGAGGGACAUCUUUUGGAAUGAGACCACAAGAAAUGGGAACCCCGGCUGACUUCUGGAGCCAAUAUCUCUCCCUUCCUUUGGUUUUGAAGUGUAACUUGUCCAGAAAAACAGCUACAACGCAAGUUAGACCAUACAGUCAAAGAAGACAGAGUUCAUGAUGUAGCACAGACUAAAGGAAAGAACCACACAACAAACUGGACAUGGGAGAUGUUUUUGAAAACAGCAAAACAAAAUAGAAAACUGUGGACAACUGAAGAGAAACUGGUGCAGAGAGCUGAAGUGCACAGAGGUCACAGGAUGAAACGGUCAGAUAGGCAGGAGAAGAAGAAGAAGCAGGAUCUUUAAGCUAUCAUACCAAAUUUCAGUUUUCAGAAAUGAUAACAAAGUUGCCAUGUGUGUUCUGGAACCAACUUUUAUUAACAAUAUGAUGAAAGUUUUGAUGUUUGGAAGCUACUGCAUGUUCUGGCUUUCAUGACUGAGUUUAUGGCGCCCUCUAUUGGUGAAAGAAAUGCGAUGAUGUGAGAAAAACAUUGACGCUCAUUUAGCCUCCCUGCAAUACUGACAACAAACAUCCAAAAAUGAACUAUUUAGCUCAAAGAGAUUCAAAUCAACUUGCUUUGAGGCUUCUGGUCCAUUAUUAGACAUUUGGGAUAAAAAUUAGCGCAACCCCCCCCAAAACUUUCAGUCUGCAAAUAUAUUCUGUUAUUUAAAAGCAACUGCACACUCAGACUGAAAACAGGAAACUGGUAAUUCUACCAUUAUUUAUGAAGUGGCUUCUCUGAGGCCAACUCUAAGCAGACUUAGACUGGCUGAGAGGAACUGGACUCCUACCAAACACCUGGAGCAACAGAAGCUUUCAAUUGCUUGGUCCUCAAGCACAGCAUGUUAAAUGAACACUACACAGCAGGAGGAAUUUAAUCAGCAGUGAUAAUCUUGCAGUGGUGGAGUAGAACUAUUUAAACAGAAGAAAUGUACUUUAUUAAAUGUAUUAAAGGCAUAAAUACAUGCUAAUGUGACUUUUAUUGUAAUCUGCCACUGGGUGUCAUUAUUGGGCUGAGGGACACACAGUAAUUCAAACAUCCACAGAGAAGUGGAAAACAUUUUUUGGCAUUUAAUUGCAAAUUCUUUUGUGGGUGUGCAAAAACAUUUUAGUAUCCAAACUUCAUGAUGUUUUAAAUGAUUUGUAACAAUCCAAAAUGCUGCGUUUGGCCCACAUGAUUUUUAUUUUGAUUAUUACAGGACAAAAGUGUAAAUCUUGUAUGCAUGUAUGCAAGAGUAAACACAUAUUAAAUAAGUGAACAAUGAGAAACAA